CAUCUUGGAUUUCAGCUGUUGGCAUCCAAACAACCUCAGGGCUGUUUUACCUGAGCAGAAUGUGGAUACCCUGCCGCAUGGGAACAAUAGACGUAGGGGUGUCUUGUUUAUUUAGCAGUUUACACAAGACAAAAGGUUGAUCCUCUGUGUGCAGACUUCCCGAGUUCCCUUCUCUACAAUAUGAUAAUAUUUACUAAAGGACUGCCUUGCCAUUCAAGAUUUCAAGAUGAAAACAGGAUUCUUCAGUGAAUUCUUUGAAGAAUGUGAUGUUGUGGAACUAUGAUGAUGUGUUAUGUAUAACAGUAAUUAAUCUUCAGUAACUUUGUCAUCAGUGACUUUUUAUAGACUGCAAAGGACAAGGGACGUUAUUGGCUAUAUACCGCCGAGAUUUUUUUCAUUUUUUCAACUUUCAUACUAUGCUUAAUUAUUCUUUUUAUUUACACAAAUAGGAUGUUCUUCUAAUCCCACUUACAUGAAAAUGACGUAAUAUUUUAUUAUGACGUCAUGAAUAUACGCUAAAGAUGAGCUGUUUAGCGGAAUCUGUUGAUUUGAAAUAAAUUAUGAAUAAACUUUAGCAAAAACUAAUACUUUUGCAUGCAACAACCAGAUUUAUAUUUUGCAUGUUUAAUUAUCCAUUAAUAUUCUUCUUUCAUUAUCAAUAUGGUGUCGGUUGUUGGCUGCAAACAAUAUGAAUUUUAAAAAAGAAUGAAUGCGAAAUCGGCUGUUUUCGAUACACAAAGUCAAUAUUUUGCAUGUUAUAGAACUGGAAAAAAAAAAUUUUGCAUGCAACAACCAGAUUUAUAUUUUGCAUGUUUAAUUAUCCAUUAAUAUUCUUCUUUCAUUAUCAAUAUGGUGUCGGUUGUUGGCUGCAAACAAUAUUAAUUUUAAAAAAGAAUGAAUGCGGAAAUUGGCCGUUUUCGUUACACAAAGUCAAUAUUUUGCAUGUUAUAGAACUGAAGCAAACUGUUCCAUCAUUUAACCUCAUAAACUUUUACUUUCUUUGCGAUUUAAUAAAUACAUGUAUGUCCAGUCAAACAAUUAAUGCGUUACCUAGUUUGCCAUAAAAAUCUGCACCCAAUAAAUGCAGAUGAUGUCUGCCUUUCGAGUCACGGAGGCGGAUCAAAAAUCCACCGCAUGAUGAAUGGAAAUUAUUCUACUUUCGUUUUUAAAGGUCACGGGAAUAUGUUUGGACGUCCUAACUUUUCAAAAUAAGAUUAUUUAAGAAUAAAUUGCAUUAAAAAAAAUAAUAAAAUCAAAGACACACAUAGACCUUUAAUAACUCGAAUUUAUUUUCUUUUUACAAAAAUCGGACCAAAAUUCGUUCAUUUUCGGCAAAAAUGGGUACUGAUACGUUAUAUCUCAAGAGCUAGAUAGUUAGGAUGUCUGUUACUUUUUUCGCUAAAUUUUAAACUAUCUUUUAUACAAAUAUAUCAAAUAUAAUGCGGGGUUUUUUUUUCUUACAUCAUUUUUUACGUACAUGCAUGUAUGUAUAUAUGAUGCAUGUUGAAAUUAAAUAUUACUACAUUAGUAAUUAGAUAUUGAUUCCAAAGGUUCUUAAAACGGUUUAAAUUAAAUAUAAAAUAACAGCAAAUCAUUAUUUAUAUCUUCCAGCGAGAUGUGGUUUCUUUAAAACUUCGAAAACCUGUGAUCGAUUUGAAACUUCGACCAUUGUGGUGGCAGAUUUUUAUUUCUAUAUUGCAUAUGAUUGAUUGAUUGAAUAUUGUUUAACGCCCCUCUUGAAAAUAUUUCACUCAUGGAGACCUCACCACUGCCGGUGAAGGGCUGCACAAUUUAGGCCUAUGCUCGGCGCUUAUGACCAUUGAGCAGGGAGGGAUCUUUAUCGUGCCACACCUGCUGUGACACGGAACCUCAGUUUUUGCGGUCUCAUCCGAAGACCGCCCCAUUUAGUCGCGUCUUACGACAAGCGACUUACUCAAACCCGGAUCCCCACGGGUUCAUAUAUAUACAUGUAUAUGUAAUAGAUGCACAUUUACAGGUACGCAUAUAUAACAAAGGUAAUUGGGCAGGAUGAACAUGUGUAUAUAUACAUGUAUAGAUAUAAAUUUUCAGACAACGUAGUAUCGAGGAGGGGUUGCCCCUCCACUUUGAGGGGGGGGGGGGGUGAUGUUGACCAUUCCCUUGCUAUGGGAACAACUUGACCAGCCUAAUGACACUUCAACUUUUAUCAAUCUUAUAAAAUAUAUAAUAUAUGUGUUGUGAUGAUUGUUACUAAAAGUGUAUAUUAGUAUUGACGUACGCCCCCUCCAUGAUUAGGAAUACUGGAGUAUAACCGUAAGGUGAUGUAGACACCUCUCUCUCUCUCUCUCUCUCUCUCUCUCUCUCUCUCUCUCUCUCUCUCUCUCUCUCUCAUGUCAAGGUGUUCUGGAUAGGCCUGGCCCGCACAUUGAAAAACGAAAAUACAUGCAUGAUAUUUAUUAAAUUCAUUUUUAUAAAAGGUCUGUUGUAGUUACAUAUACUGUCUCUUGGAAAUAGACACGUAGCAUCAUUUAUCGGGGGGGGGGGGGGGGGGGGGGGGGGGGGGGGGGUCGAAGGGAUAAGUUGGUAGUUAAUUAGCAAAUGAAAAAAAACCUUUCUGCCUGAUCUUCGAAUUCUUAAAUCGUCGGGGGUGGAGGGUUAUCCUUCGCUACAUGGGUUCAAUUAAUAAUUUUAAGCCUAUUUUUUUCUCAUUCAAUACUACUAUCAAGAAUAUGGGGGGGGGGGGGGGGGUCACUCAAUAUAUCCUUAUUCGCAUAUGAAAAUAAGUGCCUGGGAAAAGCAGUUACAUAUACCACAUUGUCUAUACAUGUACUCAAACAACUUCCCAGAGUCCGUUCUAAAUUUGGACUGAAUGUCGGUGCAUGCAAUGACAUGCCCACUGACUGAUUUAUUUUCAUUUAUCAAAGAUGAACACUAUAUGGAGAGAGAGAGUUGGAACUACUUUGUUGACCAUUUAGGGGAAUGUAAAGAUAUAAACACGGACACAUUUUUGUGAGGCUUUUAAAUACAUUGGACGCAUUUUUGUGAGGUUUUUAAAUGCAUUUGCUAUAUGA